UUCUCUUCUCUUAUUAGGGUUCAACUUCUUCUUCUUGGUUUGAGGUCAAAUAAUCAUCGAUCUUUGUACACACAGGGUGAUGAUGAUGAUUACGAUUAUCAGAAAUCUUUCUCUUCUUUUAUCUUUCUUAUCUGAAUCUCAUUCAAUUUGUCUCUCGUUCUCUUCUCUAUUACGAGAAACCCUAAGCUCUAUUGGCCAAAUCCAGUAGCCAACAGUUGAGAUGAAGAACUAAUGAACAAGAAGAAGACUUCCAGAACUUCUAAAAGAUUGUGGGAUGUAAGGAGUGGGAAGAUUAUGCACACAAUAUAAGCUAGUUCACCUGUGAAAAGUACUGAAGUUAGUCAGGAUGGUCGUUAUAUCACCACCGAAGAUGGUUCCACUGUUAAAUUUUGGAAUGAAAACCAUUUUGGACUAGUGAAGAGCUAUGACAUGUCAUGCACUUUGGAAUCGGCUUCAGUGGAACCGAAGCAUGGCAAUAAGUUUGUAGCUGCUGGAGAAGACAUGUGAAUACGAUUGUUUGAUUUCCAUACAGGAGAUGAGGUUGGUGAGUAGUAGAGUAUUUAACAAAUUAUGCAUCAAAAGUCUAUUAUACCUCCAUAUAACUGAUCAUGUGUCGUAUCCUACUACAUUUAAUGAGUAGUUCAAUAUGUGCUGAAGCAUUUUUGGUUGUAUCCUUUAUACAAAGCACUGGCUUUUGCACGCUCUGCGUUUCUUUAAGUGGCUGGAAAAUUGAGUGUUUCUGACAGGCUUAAAAAUUGUGAAAUGGAUGCUAAUGAAGGGGUACUUCUCUUAAGUGGAGGAAGGGCCAGUUGUUUUUAAUCUGUGAUUAAUUCAUUUAUCAUUGUUUGAUAAACAGAAGUUGGUCUUUCACGGUUGUGCAACUGACUCACUUGUUUAACUUGUAUUUAUUGUUUUGGUCUAACCAUUCACUACACAUCUUUUUUUUACUUGAUUUGUUCUCUCCUGUGAGAAAGACUAUGUGGUGAAGAUUUGGGAGGUUGGCACAGGGGAACUAGUCAAACAAUACAUUGGAGCUACACACAAACAAUUGUGUUGCCAGCUUUUGGGGUAUUCAGUGUCUAUUAUUCUUAUGUUGCUCAAAGAUCGGGGGCCAAAGAUCACACUAUAAAGUUCUUCGAUUUCUCAAAAAUAGUGGAGAAGAGAGCUUAUCAAGUUAUUCAGGAUACUCACAAUGUGAGAUCUUUAUCUUUUCAUCCAUCAGGGGAAUUUGUUUUAGCAGCUAUUGUAUUAUGCAACUCAUUGUGGUGCCUGAGAACCAGUUGCAUCUGUACUUCAAGAAGGGGCAAGUGGGAGAUGAUGACAAAGCUGAAGAAAGGCCUUUCAACUUGACCCUGAUGAUUAUGAAGCAAUAUGCAAAAGAUAUGUGGUUGGAGGAUCACCAAUUUAUAAAGUUGAUAGGCUACUUGUUUGCUGGGUUGUUAAUCAAAUGUGGAAUGCUUAACCUUGUUGAUCUUGCUGGGUUUGAGAACAUUUGACGUUCUGGUACAGGAGAGGAUAUGACGGAGAAAAUAUAGUGUAUGGAGCUUAAUUCGAAAUCCAAGGACAAGGCUCCAGGAACUUCAUAAUGCUCAGUUAUUGUUGAAAGCAGAGUUGAGUGAAAAACUCAAAAGACUCAGAAUAAACUCGAGAACACUGAUCAUGCAGUUUUCGAUCUAGAAGAGAAAUAUAGAAAAGUAAACGCAACCAUCAAAGAAAAAGAAUUUUUGAUAUCUAAUCUCCUUCGAGCAGGAAUUGGAGAACGAACACACUGGAAGGUGUACAAGCAGCUGAAAGCUUUUUUUUUUUCUUUUCUUUUGAGUGUGUUCGUAAGUUCAUUAAUUAGGUAGUUUUGGUUCUAAAACAGUGGUAACUUGAUAUUGUUGGAUUAAUAUGAUUAUAAAUGAACAGGGUAACUUCAUUUUGGUA